rnacentral:rRNA from 1 species
ACGGGCAGGGGCAACUCUGUCAGUGGCGGACGGGUGAGUAACGCGUAGGUAUCUAUCCUGAGGUGGGGGACAACCGUGGGAAACUACGGCUAAUACCGCAUGAUGCCCGAGGGCCAAAGGCGCAAGUCGCCUUGGGAGGAGCCUGCGUCCGAUUAGCUUGUUGGUGGGGUAACGGCCUACCAAGGCUCCGAUCGGUAUCUGGUCUGAGAGGAUGAUCAGCCACACUGGGACUGAGACACGGCCCAGACUCCUACGGGAGGCAGCAGUAGGGAAUAUUGGACAAUGGGCGAAAGCCUGAUCCAGCAAUGCCGCGUGGGUGAAGAAGGUCUUCGGAUUGUAAAGCCCUUUCGGCGGGGACGAUGAUGACGGUACCCGCACAAGAAGCCCCGGCUAACUUCGUGCCAGCAGCCGCGGUAAUACGAAGGGGGCUAGCGUNGCUCGGAUUGACUGGGCGUAAAGGGCGCG